rnacentral:misc_RNA from 1 species
GAUGAAGAACGCAGCGAAAUGCGAUAAGUAAUGUGAAUUGCAGAAUUCAGUGAAUCAUCGAAUCUUUGAACGCACCUUGCGCUCCUUGGCAUUCCGAGGAGCAUGCCUGUUUGAGUGUCAUUAAAUUCUCAAGACCUGUCUGCUUUUUUGAUAGGUAUUGGAUUUUGGGGGUUGCAGGCUGUUUCAAAUAAAUAGCCUUGCCCUCCUUGAAUGUAUUAGUGGAGAAAAGCCAUUGAACUCCAUUGGUGUGAUAAAACCUAUCAAUGCCAGGAGCAAUAUUACUACUUCUCUCUGCUGUCUAACUGUGACUGUCUGUAUUAAUUAGUAUGGAUGGGGACAACUUGACCAACUUGACCUCAAAUCAGGUAGGACUACCCGCUGAACUUAAGCAUAUCAAUAAGCGGGAGGA